GUGGACGAAGAGAUGGAGGAUUCAUUAUUCCCUUCAAUCAAUGUUGGUUCAUCUUGUUGAUUGAUGUUAUCUACUGCCUUGAAAGGUGCACGAACACCCGUAUUUAACUUGAUGUGACUUUUCUUCUUCACAUAAAUGUGAUCCUUUUGUAGCUGAUUCUCAUCUUGAAAAUAUGUUGCGUGUCUUGUUUGAGUCGAAACGUCCAUUAGUAAACCAGCACACACUUGUUUAGAAAGUUUUGGACAUGCGAUGAAAGUCGGUUUUCAAACUGCCUUUUACUCAGGUAGGAACCCUAGUCUUCUCUUUGGAAAAGAUCCUUAAAAAUUUAGAUGCUUUUCGACUUCUAAAAAUUCGAAAAAAUGACUCUACACCCAAAUAUAUGAAGAUACUAUUGAACGAAGGAUUCGAGGAAAGUAAUCUUUUGGAUUGACCAGAAAGAUUAGUACUACAACAGUACAAGAACUAAAAAUCUCAAAUGAAACCAACGAACAAGAGUAUUAACCAAAAGUUGGAGUAGGACUUUGCAAAGGAAUACCGAGCUACUACUAAUGAGAAAAAGGAGUUGGUGGGUUCUCAAAAGGGGUCAGGGAAAAGCCCGAAAUUCCGA